ACCNGGCAGCUGUGUGACUGAGCCCGAGGA
rnacentral:piRNA from 1 species